rnacentral:rRNA from 1 species
CCGGCACGGGUGAGUAACACGUAUGCAAUCCACCUGUAACAGGGGAGUAACCGGAGAAAUCCGGACUAAUACCCAUAAUAUGGGCGCUCCGCAUGGAGAGCCCAUUAAAGAGAGCAAUUUUGGUUACAGACGAGCAUGCGCUCCAUUAGCCAGUUGGCGGGGUAACGGCCCACCAAAGCGACGAUGGAUAGGGGUUCUGAGAGGAAGGUCCCCCACAUUGGAACUGAGACACGGUCCAA